ACCACACCCACCACCUUCACGCUAGAACCUCGGAGCGAGGACUGGAGAAGGAGAGAGACUCAGACAUUUGGAGAAGCAGCAAUUGUCGUCUCGGUUUUCUAAGACCAGAAAUGUAAAAACAUUGUCGGCCAAGCAGUGUUUGCUGAAGGAUAUUGAAGAUCAUCAGUCGUAACAAUGCUACUGCCUUGUUUGGCUUGAAUCUGGUUCAUCUAUUGAAUG